rnacentral:ncRNA from 2 species
GAAUCUAUCGGAUGAUGCGGCAUCCUUUUAGCGCAGCGGAAAGAUAUAGUGGAAAGCAGGAAAAAAC